UGGACAACAUGUUUUAUUGAGAGUUGCAAAGAAAAGCCAUAUCUCAGACUGGCCAAUAAAAAGAAAAGAUUAAGACGGGCAAAAGAACACAGACACUGGACAGAGGAACUCUGCCUAGAAGGCCAGCAUCCCGGAGUCGCCUCUUCACUGUUGAUGUUGAGACUGGACAGAGGAACUCUGCCUAGAAGGCCAGCAUCCCAGAGUCGCCUCUUCACUGUUGACGUUGAGACUGGACAGAGGAACUCUGCCUAGAAGGCCAGCAUCCCGGAGUCGCCUCCUCACUGUUGACGUUGAGACUGGACAGAGGAACUCUGCCUAGAAGGCCAGCAUCCCGGAGCCAGCAUCUCACUGUUGACGUUGAGACUGGACAGAGGAACUCUGCCUAGGCCAGCAUCCC
ensembl:lncRNA